AAUAUUGUGCCUGAUAUUAAAAAGGAUUAUUUUGAUAGAAUAAAUUAUGUAGAAAUUAAACUACCAUUAUUA
rnacentral:tRNA from 1 species